rnacentral:rRNA from 1 species
CCCUUAGAUGUUCUGGGCUGCACGCGCGCUACACUGAAGCGUUCAACGAGUAUUCACCUUGCCCGGGAGGGUUGGGUAAUCUUUUGAAAACGCUUCGUGAUGGGGAUAGAUUAUUGCAAUUAUUAAUCUUCAACGAGGAAUUCCUAGUAAGCGCGAGUCAUCAGCUCGUGCUGAUUACGUCCCUGCCCUUUGUACACACCGCCCGUCGCUCCCGGAACUGAGCCGUUUCGAGAAGACUGAGGAUUGCUGACUUGAGGCCUUCACGGGCUUCUAGUCGGUGAAAAUCAAUUUAAUCGCAGCGGCUUGAACCGGGCAAAAGUCGUAACA